rnacentral:rRNA from 1 species
AGGGUUUGAUUCUGGCUCAGGAUAAACGCUGGCGGCGCACAUAAGACAUGCAAGUCGAACGGACUUAACCUAUUCUUAACGAUUAGGAGCGGUUAGUGGCGGACUGGUGAGUAAUGUAUAAGUAACCUGCCUAUCAGAGGGGAACAACAGUUGGAAACGACUGCUAAUACCGCAUAUGCCACGAGAAUCACAUGGUUCAAGUGGGAAAGGAGCAAUCCGCUGAUAGAUGGACUUAUAUCUGAUUAGCUAGUUGGUGGGGUAACGGCCUACCAAGGCGACGAUCAGUAGCCGGACUGAGAGGUUAAACGGCCACAUUGGGACUGAGAUACGGCCCAG